GACAGAGGGUGCAAACGUUGUUCGGAUUUACUGGGCGUAAAGCGUGUGUAGGCGGCUUCGCAAGUUGGAUGUGAAAUCCCACGGCUCAACCGUGGACGUGCAUCCAAAACUGCGUCGCUAGAGUCUCGGAGAGGAAGGUGGAAUGCUUGGUGUAGAGGUGAAAUGCGUAGAGAUCCGGAGGAACGCCAGAGACGAAGGUGGCUACCUGGCCCUGACCUGACACUGAGGCGCGAAAGCGUGGGGAGCGAACCGG
rnacentral:rRNA from 1 species